rnacentral:rRNA from 1 species
CCUACGGGAGGCUGCAGUGGGGAAUAUUGGACAAUGGGGGCAACCCUGAUCCAGCCAUGCCGCGUGUGUGAAGAAGGCCCUCGGGUUGUAAAGCACUUUCAGUGAGGAAGAACGCCUGGUGGUUAAUACCCAUCAGGAAAGACAUCACUCACAGAAGAAGCACCGGCUAACUCCGUGCCAGCAGCCGCGGUAAUACGGAGGGUGCGAGCGUUAAUCAGAAUUACUGGGCGUAAAGCGCGCGUAGGUGGCUUGAUAAGCCGGUUGUGAAAGCCCCGGGCUCAACCUGGGAACGGCAUCCGGAACUGUCAAGCUAGAGUGCAGGAGAGGAAGGUAGAAUUCCCGGUGUAGCGGUGAAAUGCGUAGAGAUCGGGAGGAAUACCAGUGGCGAAGGCGGCCUUCUGGACUGACACUGACACUGAGGUGCGAAAGCGUGGGUAGCAAACAGGAUUAGAUACCCCAGUAGUC